rnacentral:rRNA from 1 species
AACGAACGCUGGCGGCAUGCCUAACACAUGCAAGUCGAACGAGACCUUCGGGUCUAGUGGCGCACGGGUGCGUAACGCGUGGGAAUCUGCCCUUCGGUUCGGAACAACAGUUAGAAAUGACUGCUAAUACCGGAUGAUGACGUAAGUCCAAAGAUUUAUCGCCGAAGGAUGAGCCCGCGUAGGAUUAGCUAGUUGGUAAGGUAAAAGCUUACCAAGGCGACGAUCCUUAGCUGGUCUGAGAGGAUGAUCAGCCACACUGGGACUGAGACACGGCCCAGACUCCUACGGGAGGCAGCAGUGGGGAAUAUUGGACAAUGGGCGAAAGCCUGAUCCAGCAAUGCCGCGUGAGUGAUGAAGGCCUUAGGGUUGUAAAGCUCUUUUACCAGGGAUGAUAAUGACAGUACCUGGAGAAUAAGCUCCGGCUAACUCCGUGCCAGCCGCCGCCGUAACAC